rnacentral:rRNA from 1 species
AGGACGAACGCGGGGCGUGCUUAACACAUGCAAGUCGAACGCUGAAGCCUGGUGCUUGCACGGGGGUGAGUGGCGAACGGGUGAGUAAUACGUGAGUGACCUGCCUUUGACUCUGGGAUAAGCCUGGGAAACUGGGUCUAAUACCGGAUGCGACUACUGCCCGCAUGGGCUGGUGGUGGAAAGGGUUAUGUACUGGUCUAGAUGGGCUCACGGCCUAUCAGCUGGUUGGUGGGGUAAUGGCCUACCAAGGCGACGACGGGUAGCCGGCCUGAGAGGGUGACCGGCCACACUGGGACUGAGACACGGCCCAGACUCCUACGGGAGGCAGCAGUGGGGAAUAUUGCACAAUGGGCGCAAGCCUGAUGCAGAGACGCCGCGUGAGGGAUGACGGCCUUCGGG